UCAUACAUAGCCUAAUGGUCAUGGUCGCGGACUCAUGUUCCUUUGAGCCCUGGUUCCACAAGAAACCCGUCGUGUAUGGA